UUCUAGCCCCGAUAGUAGUGAAAAUCCUUUUUCUGGCUCCUUUAGCCAGGAAAAGAUUGUAACGGAUAGCGGGAAUAGCU
rfam:Flavobacterium psychrophilum JIP02/86 complete genome